UAAGGAAUAUUGGUCAAUGGAGGCAACUCUGAACCAGCCAUGCCGCGUGAAGGAUUAAGGCCCUCUGGGUUGUAAACUUCUUUUAUAUGGGAAGAAAUGUUCUGAUUCUUCAGAGCUUGACGGUACCAUAGGAAUAAGCACCGGCUAACUCCGUGCCAGCAGCCGCGGUAAUACGAAGGGUGCAAGCGUUACUCGGAAUUACUGGGCGUAAAGCGUGCGUAGGUGGUUGUUUAAGUCUGAUGUGAAAGCCCUGGGCUCAACCUGGGAAUGGCAUUGGAAACUGGGCAGCUAGAGUGCGGUAGAGGGUAGUGGAAUUCCCGGUGUAGCAGUGAAAUGCGUAGAGAUCGGGAGGAACAUCUGUGGCGAAGGCGACUGCCUGGACCAGCACUGACACUGAGGCACGAAAGCGUGGGGAGCAAACA
rnacentral:rRNA from 1 species